GCAGGGUUGGAGUAGUAGUUAACUUGUCUGAUCCCCAUAGGCACUGUCCCUUGGCUAUCAGGAGACACGGGUGCAAAUCCCGUACUCUGCA